UACGAACUGUGCGAACGUUAUUCGGAAUCACUGGGCUUACAGGGUGCGUAGGCGGCUAUUCAGGUCAGGUGUGAAAGCCCCCGGCUCAACCGGGGAACUGCGCUUGAAACCGAGUGGCUCGAGUCAGCUAGAGGUACACGGAACUUCCAGUGGAGCGGUGAAAUGUGUUGAUAUUGGAAGGAACACCGGAGGCGAAAGCGGUGUACUGGGGCUGGUCUGACGCUGAGGCACGAAAGCCAGGGGAGCGAAUGGG
rnacentral:rRNA from 1 species